AGUUCUGCCAGAGCCCAAGCCAGGAGGAGAGCGACAGCAGAGAAGUGAAUCCUGUUUCUCCCUCUUCUUGGCGGACCUUCUCUGCGAGUCCCUGCCCAGCAUCCUUCUCCUUGCUGUCCCUUUUGGAACAAGGAGUUGUGUGCGACCGUGUUCCCAGGAGAUGGUGGAAGUUACUCACUUAAUUAAUUAACAUUUGCCCCCAAGAACUCCGGUGGAAAGGUCGGAAGGGAACGGGGCUGCGGGCACCGCCUCCUUUGUGCCUAUUCACGGACAAUGAGCUAAUUACAGGCUCCCUCGUACGCUGGAGGGUGGAGGGAGACAUCCUGGUAUUCUCCAGAACAGCCAAAGCUCUAAAGCUGAAGUCUAUUAGGUAGGAUGGUGCAAAUCAGAGAGAGGAGUGCCCCGCAAGAAACUGACAUCACGCUGUCAUCUUAGGGUCCUCUCAGACACGCGCCGAGCCCCUAGGAGCGUGCAAGUAGGCACGGUCAGAGAUGUGGGCCAGAAGAAGAGAGGCAAGCGAUCCUUUUUGAAAAAGGGGUUACACUUGUUUCCUGCUAUGUCGUCAUCAAUAUCUUCAUUGUCGUCAUUAUUGCAAUUCUUUGUCCAAGUGCGCUGUGAGAUGCGUCCUAUUUGAACCUGUCCGCCUGGAGCUGUGGCAAGGACAGCCGGCAAUUACACCUGGGAGAGGCAGCUCAUGGUUUCAGAGGAUCCAAUGUCAUGGGACCCUGAGGAGGUGCUUCUCAUCCUGACCGGGGUGCUGGGGAAGGCGUCCUGGAGGAGGCGGUUUCCGGAGUUGAUCCCUACAGGUGGUCCCUUUUUGCAUGUGUCUAGACACCUCCUGACAUCGUGGGCACAUGGUAAAGAUUUGCAGGGAGAACAAAUGAAGGUUCGCUCUCUUUUGU